CUGAUCCAUCACAUCUGCAACAAUCAACACACCAGUCAGCACUCAGCCACGCUAACGGGGCUGCUUAUUGUGAACAGAAGCUUUGAUAUCUUGUUGAAGGAAGCACAAACUGAUGGCUACUCCUCUCAGCAGGUCCGCUGACAUGGUGUUAAGUCUGCAGGAUGAGCUACAGAAGAGGCAUUACAAUGACAGGCAGGCAGAGAAGCUGCUGCACAGAGAGAGCAGUUCUUUGGACUUAGGACAGAAAUAGGCCCUCCUACAGAGUCUGGCUUUGACAACAAGCUGACACCUCAGGGAGCUUGCAGCUGAGCCGUGGGCAGCGUGGGGACGGUUCCACGAGCGCCUUCUGCCUCUAAAUCCACAACAUCUGUUCAUUUAUCCCCUUAAAAGAAAAAAAAAUACUUACUCACACUACUGACCCCUGAAGGAAGGCAAAAAUUAAAUUUCCUGCGAUUUAUACCUAGGUACUCCACAGGUGAGGAUGGAUGAGUCAGGAGUUUGGCUGGGAGCAGAGCCAAGACAUUCACAGGGAGACAUGGAAGACAAGUUUAAAGCGAGACACGACAGGCAGAACCUCUGUUGUCCCCCCAUCACCAGGGAGCGCAGCGUCGUGGUGGUUGUCUGCACCCGUUAUGUCGGCUGUACGGGGGAUCUUACCCAAACCCGACUGACUGGAUCUAACGUCUGCAAAUAAUGUUUUAUAACAAAAACGUGUUGAAUUUUACAAUCCAAAAGUUUAAGAUCUGUUUUCUCAAAAUGACUUUUUUCCUUAUGUUUCGCAGCAUUUCUACACACCAGGCUUUCCAGUUAUGCUCCUCUCCAUGUUUUUAAAGUUUUUACUUAAGGGUUCAUUGGUAUCUCCUUCACAGCCUGAUUUAUAGAGCAUUUAUUUCCAAAAAACAUGGUGAAAAUUUAGAUUUUUCUGGUUACUGAGACAUACAAAAUCCUCCCCGGUACCAACCUUUGACCCUAUAAUGUUAAUAAAAUAAAAAAUAAAAUCUGAAUCUGGUUUAA